UCCUCGUACAAACCGUGUGCCAAAGAUUGCUCUCAAAAUCAACCGAAAUUAUCCGAAUUCCGUCGUUUACAUCGUGUGGGGUUCCUCGAUGUCCGACCAGCAUGCCACUUUUUCACUUAUCCGUUUCUCGUCCGUGUACCAGUGUCAGCCUCCCGAUUGUCCAACUCCGUCGUAGCAAAGAACUCGCGAACAACGUGGAUCAUCGAGGAUCCGACGAGAUAACCGCACGAAGGAAGCAGCAUCCUUGUUCUCGCGUUCUCCAACGCCCCCCACGGAAUAAAAAAAGGGGCGCCGCAGCGGGAACGCCUUGGCGAAUCGCUCGAUCGUUUCGACGUGAACGUGGACACUGUUUCACGGUCGGCGCGACUCUCACCGUGUCGAUCGCGAUCGUGGAAAAAAGCCAAGGUGGAUCGGGAAUGAAAAGUUUUACAGCAAGAACGCGGCUCGUCGACUGAUAAAUCCGCAUUUAGUGUAGCGGCCUCACGUACACGCCGGGCUCUUGCCGGCUCCACCAAAGGCAUGAUUGGUCUGCGUGUCGGUGCCCCCGCCGCCCCCUCCUCCGCCCCCCAGGGGCGGACAACUGAGGCAGAGCGCCGUCGCCGUCCUCCGACAACGACGGGGGCGCCACCGCGCGGCACCGACGCCGACGCCCGCCACCGAUCGAUAGUCACCGACCGACGACGACGACGACGACGACGACGACGAAGACGACGACGAUGAGGACUACGACGAGGACGGUGACGACGAUGACGACGAGAACGACGACGAUGAGAACGACGACGACGAAGACGACGACGCCGCCGACCAACACCACUACGCCACGGGACCGCUAUACUACUAUUGCACUCCGGUUAGUCGGCCCCGCUACUUGUUUGCAGUAAUAUGCGUGUACUUUCGGCAUCGAAUUUGGAUCAAAUCUCACUACAUGUUAGUCGUUCGUCGGUUACGAUUAUACAGCGUGGGCGUUAACAUAUUGACUGUCUCGUUAUUCAAUUUUCUAGGACGGUCGAGGAAACGAAGACUUGGUGGUGACGGCACGUAUUCUAUAAAUAUAAACAAGUCGCACAGCUUUCGAUCUAUAUUUGCACCUUUACGACCACGCCUUCGAUACUCAUCGUUAUCAAUUUGCCGUGUUUUGCUCACGAUUUCACGAAAGUCUCCGUAAAACGUCUCUAGACGUUGCAGGGCUUGUCCAUUCGCGAAACGAGCGAACGAGUGAGCGAGCGGCGCCUUAAAAUACGGACGCAGGACCGUCAUUAGGAACACCUUUUAAGUGCGCCUCGGGCGAGCACUGUUGCCGCGAUAAGGGUGGAGGCGCUUCCUUCUCGUACUCCCGUCAGCGUACGCAUCGUGCGUAAUGUGAACCGGAUGAAGGGGUGGGAGGCCAGGAAGAGAGUGAACGAGAGUGAAAAAAAGGAACGAGAAAAGAAAAAAGAAAAAAAGGGAAAAGAACACGGAGGAGGUAGAGCGUGCGAGAGACUAGGAGGGAAAAAAGGGAGCUUCAGUGAGAAGGAGGCGAGUAUAAACGUAAAGGGGGAGCGACCGAGAAAGAGUUUUAAAAAGAGAGGCAGAGAGGCAGACAGAGAAAGAAGAAACAGAUGUAGAGCAGCGAGGUCGUAACGAAGGGAAAGAGACGAAUUACGUGAAAGAACGGAUAAGGGAAUAGGGUUCGGAAAGAGAGAGAGAAAGAGGAAAAACGGAGGGAGAGACUACUGAUAGAUAAGAAAAGUCAUCACGGUCAGUGCGCGCGCCGCGCCACACCGUCAUUCAUUGAUUGCAUCGUGGCGUGCGGUCUGCCGUGGAGAACGUACGUUUCACGUCGCUAAUGUGCACCGGAUGAAAGGAGAAAGGGAGAAGAAACGGACGAAUAUAGAAGCGAGGGGAAGCAGAGAAAACUACCGGGAGUAGGAAGGCACACUUUGCCGGCAACGUAUAUUCGGCUUUCUCUUUCUCUUUCUCCGUGUGCCCGGUAGGUUCUUCUCUCUUUAUCUCGCUCAUUUUCUCCACCGUUCGCUAGCGGUGAAACCAGACUCGGUUAAACGGUUCGCGCGAAGAAUUCAUCGUGCCACGAAAACCGACAGCGGCUACUCCACAGAAAUUGCAUCCUUUCGGAAACAAAUUCGAGAUUAGCCAAAGAAGGAUAUCGUAGAUACUCGUUCACCGAUGCAUAUAAAUUUUUCCAUCGUACCUUUCCUUCCUGUUUUGUAUAUUAAAAUUUUUAAUUACCUUGCCUCGCUAUCGGAAUAUCGAAAUGUUAUCGAGAAAUUUGUACAACUGUACAGCGUAUGCAAUAAAUAUCAAUUUCAAUUUC